AUGCGACGGACACGCAAAAGGAUGUAACAGUUGAAGGGUACUGGAUGUGUAGUGUGUGCUAUGGCAUUUAGUUUAAACAUUAAAAAUGGACUUUUAAGCACUAAAAAUUCUCUUCAGAUAAAGAUUCCCUUUUCCAUAUGCAUAAAGAGGCCAACAGAGAUCAAAUGCAUACGAGCUUUAACAAAUUCGUCAGUGCAACACAAUGAAAAGUACUGCAUUGAUAUUGUAAGGAAGAGGGACUAUGAGGGAUUCGUGUGCUCAUUGCUUCUUCCUGAUGCUGCUCGCCACUCCGCCUUGGCACUGAGGGCAUUCAAUGUAGAGCUGGCACAGAUUAAGGACUCUGUUUCCCAGAAAACCAUUGGUUUAAUGCGAAUGCAGUUUUGGAAGAGCGCUGUGGAGGAUGUUUACAGAGAUGACCCUCCAGCCCAGCCUGUCAGUGCAGAACUGUGGAGGGCAGUAAGGAAACACACACUAACGAAGAGGUGGAUGUUAAGAAUUAUAUCUGAAAGAGAGAAAGAUUUGGAGGACAGAGCAUACAGGAACUUUCAGGAGCUAGAGGCAUACAGUGAGAACACUCAGUCCUCUCUUCUCUACCUGCUGCUGGAGACGCUUGGUGUGAAAAAUGUCCAUGCAGACCAUGCCGCCAGCCACAUUGGCAAAGCCCAGGGCAUCCUGACCUGCCUCCGUGCCACCCCCUACUACAGCAGCAGACGCAAAGUCUAUCUGCCCAUGGACAUCUGCAUGCUGCAUGGUGCGUCUCAAGAGGACUUCCUCCGUGGCAGCAGGAACCAGAACGUCAGGGAUGUUGUUUAUGACAUCGCCAGCCAAGCCCACGUCCAUCUCCAACACGCUAGAUCGUUUAGCAAGAACGUUCCACAUGCGGCCAUGCCUGCCUUCCUGCAAACGGCCAGAGAAUUGCAUGGAGUAUCAGGAAGCUGCAGAAUUACCUCCUCCACCAGCAUAAUCUCAGAGUCAUCAUUUUGUUUGUGAUAAUCAUGCAGAUUAUCCUUCAACACCCCGGCUGCAGAAGUAUUAUCACGACAUUCCGCUGCUUGUAAGUUACCGUUAAUUUUGUUAUCAGAGUUAGCCAGAGCAUCCAACACUGUUUUCCCCGACUUCUUUGCGCCUUUUCUCUUUUCAGAUCCUCCCAUUGUUGUUGUUAACAAAGUUCAGGACAUCCAGAAGGGUAAUUUCUCAAUAGAUCCUCUCAAGUUUCAUUACAACUACUAUAAAACAAGGUUGGGAUUGCCGAGCUCACAAACACACAUGUGCUCAGGGCACCAUCUUGGACCGCCUCCCCAUUGAGCAUAUUUAUUAUCGUACUUUAGAAUCGGAGACAACAGGAGAUUCAUUAGCUGUACUGCCGAAGAAGCGAAAAAGGUCUGACGCAAGAAGACAGAAAGACCGGCAAAGACAAAAAACUUGAGUAAACAUUGGUACAGCAUACACAAGGUGGAAAGAUUUGAUGACGGAGAAAAAGUAGUGAUGCCGAUGUUGCUUCUUUUUUGUUGGACAGUGGGAUUACAGCACUGUGCACACGCAUUGCGCAAAAAGUUACAAAAAUUGGCAUGUGCACGACCGCGCAAAACAGCGCUUCACCAAGGCUAGGUGAGUAAAAACCAUGUUUUAGUCUAUGAGGUUAUUUUGCUUGUUUUUAUUGACUUCUAGUCAAAAAUUGCAAGUCAGAUCACUGAAAACAUUACAGCACACAUCUCUUCAAAAUGCCGUUCAUAUUGAGGUAUCAUUCCUAUCUGAAACGCAAACGGUGAAGGAUAAGUUACAAGAUAAGCUUAGGGUAAGGUGUUUGUUCAUAUCCCUAACCCUAAGUAUAAGAAGUAGUGACCACUAAUUAAAAUGAGCCUGUUCUAAGUGUUUGUGUCCUUUGCAUCAGGUUGUUCUGGAUGAUUACUUGCACAGAGUGAGGAAAGUAGAUUUCGAUGUGUUCCAUCCCAGCCUACAGAAGAGGAAUCCAAUGCUGCCUGUUCAGCUUUAUUUACGAUCAUGGAAGAAGACCUACUGAUGAUGUCUAAUAUAAACACCAUUUAAUUGUUUCCCUGUCAAACCCCAAGACAAGAGCAAUUCACUCAAAUAAAUUGUCUAGCUGUGUGGACUGUUUUUAUUUUUCCUUUAAUUUUUCAUGGCAGUACACUAGAUGAAACAAAAGGAAAAUAUUUGAUUACUUAACAGAGACUCAGUACAAAGGAUAAACAGCUUGAAAUGAAAAGCGCCACUACCAAAACAUUCAGUUACAUAAAAAUGAAAAUGUGUCUGAACCUUUUAAACUCAACAGCUAAUAAAUGCACUUUUGUAUUCUCUA